rnacentral:rRNA from 1 species
ACGGAAGGCAGCAGUGGGGAAUAUUGGACAAUGGGGGGAAACCCUGAUCCAGCGACGCCGCGUGAGUGAAGAAGUAUUUCGGUAUGUAAAGCUCUAUCAGCAAGGAAGAAAAUGACGGUACUUGACUAAGAAGCUCCGGCUAAAUACGUGCCAGCAGCCGCGGUAAUACGUAUGGAGCAAGCGUUAUCCGGAUUUACUGGGUGUAAAGGGAGCGUAGACGGCAAAGCAAGUCUGAAGUGAAAUCCCGGGGCUCAACCCCGGAACUGCUUUGGAAACUGUUUAGCUAGAGUGCAGGAGAGGUAAGCGGAAUUCCUAGUGUAGCGGUGAAAUGCGUAGAUAUUAGGAGGAACACCAGUGGCGAAGGCGGCUUACCGGACUGUAACUGACGUUGAGGCUCGAAAGCGUGGGGAGCAAACAGGAUUAGAUACCCUGGUA